GAUCAUGGCUCAGGAUGAACGCUAGCGGCAGGCCUAACACAUGCAAGUCGAGGGGCAGCACGGUGUAGCAAUACACUGGUGGCGACCGGCGCACGGGUGCGUAACGCGUAUGCAACCCACCCAUAACAGGGGGAUAACACUGAGAAAUUGGUACUAAUACCCCAUAACAUCAGGACCGGCAUCGGUUCCGGUUGAAAACUCCGGUGGUUAUGGAUGGGCAUGCGUUGUAUUAGCUGGUUGG
rnacentral:rRNA from 1 species